CUACUACUCCCUCUGUCCGAAAAUACUUGUCAUUGAAAUGGAUGUAUCUAGAUGUAUUUUAGUUCUAGACACAUCCAUUUUGAUGACAAGUAAUUCCGGACGGAGGGGGUAUUAU
rnacentral:pre_miRNA from 1 species